UUUGGGUUGUGUUUUGAUUAGAUGUUGAGGUUACUACCCAGAUCCUGUUGUUACAAAUCGAGAGCAAAUAAACUGAAACCAAGAUAUGCUUGAAGGAAGAGUGUCAAGCUAGGGACUCCAUGACACUGGUUCACAACCGAUGCAGGUCAAAAAAUUUGUUGUGAAACAAACGCACCUUUGUACUUGCUGUCCUAUACAUCUGUUUUUGCUGAAUAAUUCUGAAGUUCUUCCACCAAAAAGAAAGGUACAUCAGGCUGAGGGCCUGAGCCCAUCUCUGUCUUAAUGAAUGUUCUAGUUAAUUUGGGGUGAAAAAAUCUGGUUUCAGAAUCUGGCUUCAAUAAUUUAUGAAUGAUGUGGGUAGGUUUUGGUUGUGUGUGAAUUAAAGUUGGGUAGGAAAAAUUAAGGUUGUUAUUGAUGAGGGUAUAUACAUAGGAGAUUGAUGUUGAACUUCAUCUAUUUUAGGUUCAGCAAUCAACGUGGUGUGAAGUUUUUUUUGGGUGAUUGGGGGUUUACAAUUUUUGGGUCAUACAAUUGGCAGUGGAUCUUGGUCAAUCUUGAAUGGUAGGGUGAGUCAUUAAUUUGAGGGUGGGUAGUGGCUUAUUAAUGAUAAGGCCAGGGUUUACAAUUCUGUUUGAGAUGCUGGUUGGUUAAUUCAUGAAAUUGGCAUAUUGGGUCUUUCUUAGUCUUAGGGUAGAUGUCUCAAUAAUGGUGGAGCUUUGCUCAAAGUGUGUAAACAUAACACUGGGUGCGAACUAUACCACAAGAGAUUGAGGGCUUGGUGAAGUAGCAGGGACCACUAGAAAGAAGAGUAAGAACUUUAUAUACAAAUGAUAUUUGAAGGGAGACCUGCUAGUUAAAGUCCUAUUCACAUGAUUUAUUUAUUUAUUUAU